UGAGUAACACGUGGGUAACCUGCCCAUAAGACUGGGAUAACUCCGGGAAACCGGGGCUAAUACCGGAUAACAUUUUGAACUGCAUGGUUCGAAAUUGAAAGGCGGCUUCGGCUGUCACUCUAUGGAUGGACCCGCGUCGCAUUAGCUAGUUGGUGAGGUAACGGCUCACCAAGGCAACGAUGCGUAGCCGACCUGAGAGGGUGAUCGGCCACACUGGGACUGAGACACGGCCCAGACUCCUACGGGAGGCAGCAGUAGGGAAUCUUCCGCAAUGGACGAAAGUCUGACGGAGCAACGCCGCGUGAGUGAUGAAGGCUUUCGGGUCGUAAAACUCUGUUGUUAGGGAAGAACAAGUGCUAGUUGAAUAAGCUGGCACCUUGACGGUACCUAACCAGAAAGCCACGGCUAACUACGUGCCAGCAGCCGCGGUAAUACGUAGGUGGCAAGCGUUAUCCGGAAU
rnacentral:rRNA from 1 species